GAUGAGGUUCUGAACUCAGAAACAGUGGGCUGGUAGAGAAGGAGACACAUCUGUGAGAUAUUUAGGAAGGAAAAUUGUAGGGCAGAAUGGAUCUGAAGUCAAUGAAAAAUUCUUCAUAGCUCUAGUCAUUGGACUUCCCCAGAAGACACUGAAAGGAAGGUUUGGAUGCAAGUUGUUCAUUUAGGAGGAGAUCUCAGGAAGCACAGAGUAUUUCCUUGGGUUAGGACCUCCAAGUCCUCCCCUAACUAACUGGUGUCCUUAUAAGGGAAAUUUGAACACAGAAAAGGACAGAGGGAGGACCCUAUGAAGACCCAGAGAGAAGGUGACCAUCUGCAAGCUGAGGAAGGAGAGAGGCAUCAGCAGAAAUCAACUCUGGACACUUUGAUCUCGGACUUCCAGCUUUGGGAAGUGUGAGACACUGAAUUUCGGUGUAUAAGCCAACCAAUCCAUGGUACAUGGUUAUGGCAGCCCUAGUAAGCAAAUACAAAUUUAUCUCCAAAUAAACUACUUGCAUAUGAA